rnacentral:rRNA from 1 species
GACGAACGCUGGCGGCGUGCUUAACACAUGCAAGUCGAACGGAAAGGCCCUGCUUUUGUGGGGUGCUCGAGUGGCGAACGGGUGAGUAACACGUGAGUAACCUGCCCUUGACUUUGGGAUAACUUCAGGAAACUGGGGCUAAUACCGGAUAGGAGCUCCUGCUGCAUGGUGGGGGUUGGAAAGUUUCGGCGGUUGGGGAUAGACUCGCGGCUUAUCAGCUUGUUGGUGGGGUAGUGGCUACCAAGGCUUUGACGGGUAGCCGGCCUGAGAGGGUGACCGGCCACAUUGGGACUGAGAUACGGCCCAGACUCCUACGGGAGGCAGCAGUGGGGAAUAUUGCACAAUGGGCGGAAGCCUGAUGCAGCAACGCCGCGUGCGGGAUGACGGCCUUCGGGUUGUAAACCGCUUUCGCCUGUGACGAAGCGUGAGUGACGGUAAUGGGUAAAGAAGCACCGGCUAACUACGUG